rnacentral:rRNA from 1 species
GCUCUACAACCCUUUGUGAACAUACCUAUAACUGUUGCUUCGGCGGGUAGGGUCUCCGUGACCCUCCCGGCCUCCCGCCCCCGGGCGGGUCGGCGCCCGCCGGAGGAUAACCAAACUCUGAUUUAACGACGUUUCUUCUGAGUGGUACAAGCAAAUAAUCAAAACUUUUAACAACGGAUCUCUUGGUUCUGGCAUCGAUGAAGAACGCAGCGAAAUGCGAUAAGUAAUGUGAAUUGCAGAAUUCAGUGAAUCAUCGAAUCUUUGAACGCACAUUGCGCCCGCCAGCAUUCUGGCGGGCAUGCCUGUUCGAGCGUCAUUUCAACCCUCAAGCUCUGCUUGGUGUUGGGGCCCUACAGCUGAUGUAGGCCCUCAAAGGUAGUGGCGGACCCUCCCGGAGCCUCCUUUGCGUAGUAACUUUACGUCUCGCACUGGGAUCCGGAGGGACUCUUGCCGUAAAACCCCCCAAUUUUCCAAAGGUUGACCUCGGAUCAGGUAGGAAUACCCGCUGAACUUAAGCAUAUCAAUAAGCGGAGGAAAAGAAACCAACAGGGAUUGCCUCAGUAACGGCGAGUGAAGCGGCAACAGCUCAAAUUUGAAAUCUGGCCCUAGGCCCGAGUUGUAAUUUGCAGAGGAUGCUUUUGGUGCGGUGCCUUCCAAGUUCCCUAGAACGGGACGCCAGAGAGGGUGAGAGCCCCGUACAGUUGGACACCAAGCCUUUGUAAAGCUCCUUCGACGAGUCGAGUAGUUUGGGAAUGCUGCUCAAAAUGGGAGGUAUAUUUCUUCUAAAGCUAAAUACCGGCCAGAGACCGAUAGCGCACAAGUAGAGUGAUCGAAAGAUGAAAAGCACUUUGAAAAGAGGGUUAAACAGCACGUGAAAUUGUUAAAAGGGAAGCGCUUGUGACCAGACUUGCGUCCGGUGAAUCACCCAGCUCUCGCGGCUGGGGCACUUCGCCGGCUCAGGCCAGCAUCAGCUCGCUGUCGGGGACAAAAGCUUCAGGAACGUAGCUCUCUUCGGGGAGUGUUAUAGCCUGUUGCAUAAUACCCUUCGGCGGGCUGA